rnacentral:snRNA from 1 species
AGACUCGGAGCCACCUUCAAAACGAACAAAUCUUUCGCCUUUUACUAAAGAUUUCCGUGGAGGCGG